rnacentral:misc_RNA from 1 species
UUUCAAUGUAAAUAAUUUUUUUUAACACGGCCAUAUAAAUUCAUUUCAUAGGCUCACAAAUGAGCUAUCAAGCCAAAACGCGAACUGAAACAACACUCCAACGUUUUAUUUUUAAAACGGCAUUCAAAAACACAAACAGCGAAUUCAAAGUGCUACAUUAUUACGGAAUCAGAACGGUGGCGAGGCAAAAAAAAAACUAACAAAUCAGCCGACAAAAGGAAACGUUAAAACACGGGCCAACAAUGUGCAAAUUGCUACUCUAGAAAGAAGUAAGUCUAGAAAGAAUUCCGCGGAAAAACGCUAGGAUCCGACAACGUUCCGUUUGUGUUGUAAAGGAAACAUUACAAUCACGAAAUAUGCACGAGUGAGAAUGAAAAUCGUAAAA